rnacentral:tRNA from 1 species
GGGAUUAGAUCAGCGGUAGAUCGUGUGAUUCCAGAUCACAAGGUCAUCGGUUCAAAUCCGGUAUCCC